UCCUACGGGGGGCAGCAGUGAGGAAUAUUGGUCAAUGGACGCAAGUCUGAACCAGCCAUGCCGCGUGCAGGAAGACGGCUCUAUGAGUUGUAAACUGCUUUUGUACGAGGGUAAAUGCAGGUACGUGUAUCUGUUUGAAAGUAUCGUACGAAUAAGGAUCGGCUAACUCCGUGCCAGCAGCCGCGGUAAUACGGAGGAUGCGAGCGUUAUCCGGAUUUAUUGGGUUUAAAGGGCGCGUAGGCGGUCCGUCAAGUCAGCGGUAAAAUUGCGGGGCUCAACCCCGUCGAGCCGUGGAACCUGGCAGG
rnacentral:rRNA from 1 species